rnacentral:rRNA from 1 species
CACGUAGGGCGCAAGCGUUGUCCGGAAUUAUUGGGCGUAAAGAGCUCGUAGGCGGUCUGUUACGUCUGCUGUGAAAACCCGGGGCUUAACCCUGGGCUUGCAGUGGAUACGGGCAGACUAGAGGCAGGUAGGGGAGAAUGGAAUUCCCGGUGUAGCGGUGAAAUGCGUAGAGAUCCGGAGGAACACCAAAGGCGAAGGCAGUGUCCUGGCGCGUAACUGACGCUGAGGUGCGAAAGCCAGGGGAGCGAACGGG